rnacentral:lncRNA from 1 species
GAAAUAAAAUAAAACAUUUAUGUAGGGAAAACUAUGUAGGUAUUGUGCUAAAAAAUAUAUAUAUGUCUCUAUUGGAUAUCGUCUGCCUGUCUGUCUGAUUCCUCUGCACAACUAUUGGACGACAUUCUCUCCAAGGUUUCUUUAAACCUCCUCUCCAUAUUUUGCAGGCGUACUGGGCAUAUAUUGUAGAAACUUCCUCGAAAUGGCACAAGCUGCUUAUCUAUGGUGACACAGUCACUAGGGAUGAAACCUCUUCUGCAGUUGUCCAAGAAACAGUCCUCAUUCCAGGCACUGACUCCGGUGGAAGUUGUUUGGUGUUAAUAUGGCAUCCAUCCUGAUCUUCGUCCUUUUGGUCUUCUUCCCAGGUACAUCUUCUGGGGGCAUCACUGGAGAUUUAUAGAUAGGGUGGGAGUAAAAAAAAGGUAACACUUUACAAUAAGGGUACAUCAAUAACAAUACCUAUAACAGAAUCAUUUAAAUUAUUAAUAAUUGAGUACAACUAUAAGUACAACUAUAAGGAGUAAUUGCACUAAUUGUCCACACAGCCUUACAGAUUGUAGUCUUGUAUCUGUUUCUCUGCAUACUUUAAAUCCUCCUUAUAUCCUCCUUACACCCUGUUCUUCAAUGCUCAGGACCCCACAGGAGUGACCACCACACAGCAGCUUUUAUUAUUUGGGUGGUCGGUCCUUAUUCUCAGCACUGUUCGUACGUAAAAGUAGAUCAGAUACAGCAGUGCUGCUGGAGUUUUUAAACACCCCAGUUUCCACUCACUGUCCACUCUUUUACACACUCCAUAGCAUGCACAGAGAAAGCCUUUUCUGAGUUAUAAUCAUAAGUGUAAACGGGUGGAGUUUACCAAGCACUACUGGGAUUUUAACUGGGACCGUGUGCUUUAGUGACAUAAGACCAAGAUUUUGGCAACAAACACUGUAGGUGGGUCUGGAGUAACACUAAGGAUGAGUAUGCAGAAAAACACCUCAUGCUCACUGUUAUGUAUGGGGGAGGAUCAGUGAUGCUGUGAACCUGGGAACCUUGUAAGGAUACAUGGGAUCAUAAACUCUUUGAAAUAUCUAGACAUUUUGAAUCAGAAUCUGGUGGUCUCUGCACGAAAGCUGAAGAUGGGUCGUCACUGAGAUUUUGUAUCAAGAUAAUGACCCCAAACAUGUGACUAAAUCUAUUCAAAAAUGGUUCCCAAGGCACAAAAUCAAGCUCCUCUCAUGGCCAUCUCAGUUCCCAGACCUCGACCCAAUAGAAAACCUAUUGGGUGAGCUGAAGACGAGAGCGCAUAGGAGAAGACCCAGGACU